rnacentral:rRNA from 1 species
AUUGAACGCUGGCGGCAUGCCUUACACAUGCAAGUCGAACGGUAACGGGCCUUCGGGUGCCGACGAGUGGCGAACGGGUGAGUAAUACAUCGGAACGUGCCCGAUCGUGGGGAUAACGAGGCGAAAGCUUUGCUAAUACCGCAUACGAUCUACGGAUGAAAGCAGGGGACCGCAAGGCCUUGCGCGGACGGAGCGGCCGAUGGCAGAUUAGGUAGUUGGUGGGAUAAAAGCUUACCAAGCCGACGAUCUGUAGCUGGUCUGAGAGGGUGAUCAGCCACACUGGGACUGAGACACGGCCCAGACUCCUACGGGAGGCAGCAGUGGGGAAUUUUGGACAAUGGGCGCAAGCCUGAUCCAGCCAUGCCGCGUGCAGGAUGAAGGCCUUCGGGUUGUAAACUGCUUUUGUACGGAACGAAAAGCCUUCUUUUAAUACAGGAGGGUCAUGACGGUACCGUAAGAAUAAGCACCGGCUAACUACGUG